CUGCUCACUUCAGAAGCAUAUAUUCUAUGACUGGAAUGAUGCAGAGAAGCUUGGCUUGGCCCCUGAGCAAGGAUGACACGCCCAUUCGCGUUCCAUAUUGAA